UACGGGGGGGAGCAAGCGUUGUUCGGAUUUACUGGGCGUAAAGGGCGCGUAGGCGGUCAGCACAAGUCAUCUGUGAAAUCUCCGGGCUUAACUCGGAACGGUCAGAUGAUACUGUUUUGCUAGAGUGCAGAAGGGGCAAUCGGAAUUCUUGGUGUAGCGGUGAAAUGCGUAGAUAUCAAGAGGAACACCUGAGGUGAAGACGGGUUGCUGGGCUGACACUGACGCUGAGGCGCGAAAGCCAGGGGAGCAAACGGG
rnacentral:rRNA from 1 species